CCUACGGGAGGCAGCAGUGAGGAAUAUUGGUCAAUGGACGAGAGUCUGAACCAGCCAAGUAGCGUGAAGGAUGACUGCCCUAUGGGUUGUAAACUUCUUUUAUAAAGGAAUAAAACGAGGCACGUGUGCCUUUUUGUAUUUACUUUAUGAAUAAGGAUCGGCUAACUCCGUGCCAGCAGCCGCGGUAAUACGGAGGAUCCGAGCGUUAUCCGGAUUUAUUGGGUUUAAAGGGAGCGUAGAUGGGUUGUUAAGUCAGUUGUGAAAGUUUGCGGCUCAACCGUAAAAUUGCAAUUGAUACUGGCAGUCUUGAGUACAGUUGAGGUAGGCGGAAUUCGUGGUGUAGCGGUGAAAUGCUUAGAUAUCACGAAGAACCCCGAUUGCGAAGGCAGCUUACUAAGCUGUGACUGACAUUGAUGCUCGAAAGUGUGGGUAUCAAACAGGAUUAGAUACCCUUGUAGUC
rnacentral:rRNA from 1 species